GUACCCUUGGGUACAUAUACUAAAAUUGGAACGAUACAGAGAAGAUUAGCAUGGCCCCUGCGCAAGGAUGACACGCAAAAUCGUGAAGCGUUCCACAUUUUU
rnacentral:snRNA from 1 species